GACGAAGGAUGCAAGCGUUAUCCGGAUUCAUUGGGUUUAAAGGGUGCGUAGGCGGACUAAUAAGUCAGUGGUGAAAUCUCUCAGCUUAACUGAGAAACUGCCAUUGAUACUGUUAGUCUAGAGUAUAGAUGACGUUGGCGGAAUAUGACAUGUAGUGGUGAAAUACUUAGAUAUGUCAUAGAACACCGAUUGCGAAGGCAGCUAACGAAACUAUAACUGACGCUGAGGCACGAAAGUGCGGGGAUCAAACAGG
rnacentral:rRNA from 1 species